CUCAGACAGGCCAUGAGUUAAUCGCAUUGCAAAGUUGGGUUGUGGAUACAUUAGGGUCCUGAUAGGAUUCUGUUACUUUCAUAUACACUUGAAAUUUUCUAUUGUAAAUAGUUAAAUUCUUUUAAAAAAUUCAGUUUGGAAAUUGGUAAUCCACUUUAGUUACAACCCACGUGCUUGGGUCAUGAAGACGUUUUCUGAACUUAACUUAAUGUUUUGUUAUAUACCAGAUUUAAGGAGGACUUUUUCCAGAGUGGUGAAAUUGGAGGGCACUGUAAACUUGACAUCCGUACAUUGACGUCUGAAGGUCAGCGCAAAAGCCCUCUGCAGUCAUGGUUUGCUGAGCUACAAAGCUAUACUCAGCUCAACUUCAGACCUAUAGAAGAUGCUAAAUGUGACAUUGUCAUUGAAAAACCAACAUAUUUCAUGAAAUUAGAUGCAGGUGAGAAAUAACUUUUUCUGUUAUUUGUGUAUUUGUUAAUGAGAUAUUAUUCCUUUUUUUGGAUGUAGUAAUUCUCUCUGAAUUUUUUGGAAGCAGUAUGACAAACAGUAGAUUUGUUUUUUUUGCUUUCUUCUCUGAAGAAGUAGUUGAACUAAUUUGAACUUCCCAUUAUUUUAUAACUUGGGCAUUUUAGAAGAAACUUUCACAUUUAUAUCAAAGGACUUAACCAAAAUCAAAGGACGAGAGGUGAAGGCAUAUUUAUGCCUUUUGUAACUAAAUUUACCUCAUCUGGUUUCUCUAAUCACUUGGUUUAGAUUGUCUUUCAUUAAGAUGUUUAAAAUCAAAAGCUAAGCCGGGCGCGGUGGCUCACACCUGUAAUCCCAGCACUGUGGGAGGCCGAGGCAGGCAGAUCACGAGGUCAGGAGAUCGAGACCAUCCUGGCCAACAUGGUGAAACCUCGUCUCUACUAAAAAAACACAAAAAAUUAGCUGGGCGUGGUGGCAGGCACCUAUAGUCCCAGCUACUCGGGAGGUUGAAGCGGGGGAAUCGCUUGAACCCAGGAGGCAGAGGUUGCAGUGAGCCAAGAUCGUGCCGCUGCACUCCAGCCUGGUGACAGAGCAAGACUCCGUCUU
rnacentral:lncRNA from 10 species